UCAAAGACUUCCCCGUCGAACACAAAAAUAAUUCUCUUACUCAGGAUUACCCUAACCCAGUUCUAUAUUUCCAGGGAAAAUAUGUCAAGUUCAUGAAUUAAGCCAUCGUGUUUUUCAUUCCGUAUCUCUCUUUUCAAAUUUCUCGGUUACCCUAACCCAAUUCUAUAGUUCAUUUUUCUCAAAUUUCUGGGUUUCCUAAGAAUUUCUUUUUUCAUUCUUCAAUAUCUCUUAUAAAGAGUGUUGAGCUUUUAGAUUCAGAACACUUUGUAAGUUCUAUCCGAUCUGGGCUAGUGUUUUCAUUAUAGCGUUAGAUUCGUUAGCCUUAUUUUUCUUAUGUUGAAUCUGUAGCUAUUUGGAUCACUUGAGUUAAAUCUCUGAAAUCUACAGAGAAAUUGAGUUAUACGAAUGUUUUAAUUGAAAAUCUGCAGCAGGCAAGGCAUUACAGGCUGCUCGUUUGGAGAAUUGCUUGGUUUGUCGUUCGGAUUAUAUGUCUCCAAAUUAUACAACUACUCCUGGAAAGUUAUCUGCAGCUUGAGAUUUUGAGCAUUCGCUUGGUGGACAAUAUAGUGAAUGAAUCAUUUCUUAGGAAUCUUAGGGAUGGGUUUAGGCUACAUUCUAAUGUCUUGAUCUUGUUUAAAUCACAUGUUCAUGUGAGCAUAACAAAACGGAUAUAAGAAAGUAAUACAGAAUCAUGUAAUCCACUCAAAGCAUUUCUACGGACAAGAGAGCACAAAGCAAUUUAACCGCAGGAGUGUUCUCGCAUUUAAAAGUCAGGUGGUGUUGUAAGCUCAAAUGGACGGUUACAAGGGCGUCUUGAGGUUUCUAGGGGUUUUGGUGGUCGCCAAUUCAAGAAGGUAAUGAUCCUUUCGACAUGUUAAGAAGGAGUGCUUUCCUGUAAGCACAAUAAGUCGUCGUCUUGUUAAGGAAGCUGUGAAAGAAGGGCGGCUAUCGAGGAGAGUUCUAUAGCAGUGUGAGAUAGAGUUCGAUACUCUGCCUCGGUGAAGGAUCGUGACACUGUGGGCUGUCUUUUUGCAGACCAUAAAAUGAGAUUUGAUCCAAGAGAGAUGCAGAAACCACCACUGGACCUUCUAGUGUCUUUACAUCCUGCCGAGUCGCUAUCACAGUACGCACGAAGAGUGGAAUCAGUGUCCGAAUUGAAGUGAAGACCCAUCUGCAAGGUACCCUUCAAGUAGCGGAGAAUCCUUUUUAGAAGUGAGAAAUCAGACACUGCAGGCUUGUGCAUCUUCUGACACACAUAAUUAACGGUGAAUUGAAAUGUCUGCCCGUGUGAGGUAUUGCAGCUUCCCAGCUAGGCUUCGAAAAUAUGUAGGAUCAGAGAAGUCCUGGUCUUGAUGAGGGACACGAUGCAGUUGCAAUGGCAACGGAGUGGGCAUGGGAGCACAGUCUAACAUUCAUGCAAUCGUAAGAAGAUCAGUAACGUAUUUAGACUGAUUUAAGAAGAGACCUGUAGGAGAGCCAAAUUCAAUCAGAUGUGAACUGAAUUUAUCAAACCAGGCCCUUGGGUUUUGUUUUAACCCAUAUAUGGCUGUAUGAAGUUUACAAACAUAGUGGGGAUGAGUUUUAUCUUCAAACCCU